CGCUCGGCGAGCCCGCGGGAGAGGAUUAGGGCUCCCGAGGCAACUUGCUCCGGGCUCAGGCUGUUCUCCCCCGAUGCUCAGGCUCCCUGGCUGCUUGGCUGCUCUGGCUUUUGGCCUUCCUUUCCUCCUCCUCCUGCCCCUCCCUGCUCCUUACCGGCUGCUCCGCCUGCGCGCUCGCCUCCUGCCGCGCUGCUCCUCCGCCCUGCGCUCCUGGGGUCCCCACAGUCAGCUGGCUGCGUUGAGCGCGGGGCUCACUUUUCUGCCGCCGGUGGCGAGUGGCUGGUGGGUAGGUCUUCGUGUUGACGAAGUCCCUCCUGGGCUCUAGGUAAAGCGGGAACUUGAAACAGUCUGUUUAGCUUGGUUGGUCCCACGCCGCAGCAGGGCCUGGCGCGUCUUUGCUGCCUGAACUCCCGAACUGGCUGCCCAGGGCUUGCUAGGGAAAGAAGCGGGAAUGGGUGCUUAGACCCAGAGGAAUUGUUCGCUGACUUCUACCCCAUUAUCUCAUCACCCCGACCUCAGAACUCCAAAAACGUGGGGUGGGAGGAAAGGGGCUCUUCUGGCCAUAGCGGACAAUCAGGUUGGAAACGCAAAGGUAAAACGAAGUUGACUCCGCGGACUGCCUCUCUCCUUUUGACCCGCGAAGUCUGCUUUUCAGUUUAACUCUAGAAUUAAAGUGUGUACUAACCCGAAGCCAACGAGUGAAAUGAUCUUCUGGUAGGCUGAAGUUUGUAAAGCGGUUAUAUACUGUCCAGUUUCUCUCUGGUGAUCUCUUGCCCUCUGUUUUUAAGCAGACUCGCGCAAUUAGCUAGUCCUGCUUUGAUAAUUAUAAAGACAAUUCUCCGUAUAUUUCUAGAGACUUACAAAACUGUAUUAGUCUAAGAGCUCCAGUAGGAAGGAGUCUCUUACAGAAAAACAGUGAAAUGCCCAUUUCACUGCACUAAGAGUGGAUAUAAUAUUUUUCUCUCGGGAAACUACCUGGAGAGAGAGAAGACUGUUGGCUGCACCUCGCCGGUAACUUUUCUCAAUAAUUUUUUACAUGCCCCCAUCAUCUCUUACAGUUUCCCAAAGACAAAGUCACAGGAAGGCCACGAAGAACUCCCACAUUUCCCCAAAAACUUAUAAACAGCCAUCCCUUAUUUAGCGGUACUUUGAAUUUUAUCUUUAAAAGCCUGCAUCAUGAGCCGUCGAAGGCUUAAUUUCGGUAUAUUGUGGCGGCGAGAAGAUACUGUGGGUUAGGAAACUCCUUUCUUUGUAUCUUUCACCAGAUCUAACCCUUGAUAAGACCUGUGAGCUCCCGGAUGGCCUCAGUGGCUGGGUUUGAACGGAUAUGCCUCUACAAAAAGCAGCUAAAAUGCGUGAGUUCCCUCCUGAUAUAGCUGGGACUUUACCAAGAACUGAUGAUAAUAUUAUUGUCUUAUUUAUUUUGUUUUCUCUCAAAAAGAUUUCAAAUUUGAUACCUUCUUUUCCAUUCUUAUUAUGUUAAAAAUGAGUGGAGUGCGUGUGUGGAAUUGAAAGUCAGAUUGACACAGGUUGAUAAAAUUUACCAGUUGUGUUCUGUUUUGUUUUAAUCCAUGUUUCUAGUCUCUGGUGUAUGCAUGGAGCCCUUUGUCAAGCUGGUUCUGUAAAGCUGAUGGUAAUAAUCAUCGCUACACUAAGCAAGCCUUCCCAGUAUACGAGCAUGUUUCCCUUACAGAUAACCAAGUUGACCCUAGUAAAAAAGAUACCACCAUAACACCAGAAAGUAAAUAGAGGACUUGAAACAAUCAUAUUCCCUCCUGCCAUGUUUAUAACAUGGAAUUAAACACCAGAAACACCCUGGUGAGUUAUAUUUGAGACCCACAAAACACCUUUACUGCCCACCCUCCUUUCUACACACACACACACACACACACACACACACAGUUGUAUUUUAACUCCCUAAACCCAUAAGCAAUCACAAAGAAUUAUUGCUGAUGAUAGCAAUUCUAAGUAGAAAAUCUGGCAUGUGGCUCCGAGGAAAACCUGCAGCAAUAAGCAGUUUCACUAUAAUGGUGAAGACAACAGGUUUUCUUUUGCUUAGCCCAAACCAUUAUUGUCAACCAUUAUUUUCUUAGUUCCUAAACUAACAGAAGCAAGGAUCCAUGCAUAAGAUACUCUCUUCGAGGGGACGCAAUAAUUAUGUUGUUCCAUGAUGAAUAUGCUCUGGAGAUCUAUGUGUUUGAUAGUACAUUUUGCAUUAAAAUCAAAAUUCGGUUGGCAGCAUUAUUUCACUUUACCUGAAAAUUCUAAUGUGAUCAGAUCCACAUUUCCUUAGUUAAUUGCUACAUGUAGAUUUAGCAUACUAAAUAUAUCUGUGAAAAUUUUAAUGUUUAUUAAAAUACAUAAAACUGAUUACAUAAAAGUAUGAUUAGCAAUAUUUUUCCAGAGUACUUGAUCACAGGAGCGACCUCUUGUGUUCAAAGGGGAGAUGAGACACUCUCCUGUGGUAAUUGGACUCACUUUGACCUUUGUAUAUUCUGUUAGGUCAAAAAUAUAUCUUUCAAAACAUCAGUGGUGUGAAUUUCUGGUUUGAUCUCCUCUACUGACAAGAGGAAAAGAAGAAUAAGUAUUUGUGGAGUUUAGUACCAAUCACUCCAGGCUGACCCAAUGUACCUUAUAGUGUCUGGUCUGAAUACAACAGAGAUGCUGAGAAUAUGCUCCUCUUGAGUCUGUAGCAUUUGCCCACGUGCACUUUUACACACCUUCCAAAAUGCAGCUGUUACAUCCAAGCUUCUAGUGAGCUGUUAUGCCUGUUUUUGUGAGCUGUUGCUUUCUUCCUCUGCUCUAAUUAAAAUUAAACAUUCUAGAUCAGACUUAAUGCCAGAUGUGGAUUCCUGAACAAACAUCAUGAAGUCAAGUUACUUUCCAAAAUAUUUUAAAAGGUUUUAAUUGCACUUGAAAAGUAAAGUUAUACAUUUAGAAUUUACUUCUUUC
rnacentral:lncRNA from 1 species